CCCUGGAGAGCCGUGGGGGGAGAGCCGUGCCCGCCGAAGGAGACCCUCCCCAGCACCCGGCCCGAGGCGGGUGCGGGCCCUCCCGAAAUGGCUCGGGAGAUGUUUUCCGCACUCAGUUGGAUACAAAGCCCUGUGGAUCGCUGGUGUCCAGCCAAAGGAUUGUGUCUGUGGAGCCCCACAGAAGCAGUUUAUCAGGGCAUAGGUGACUUCUGCAUCAACAUCUGGCUGUAGGAGUCAUCCUAUUCCAACCUUGUUCCUGCCCUCUUCCUCCUGCCCUCUGCCUCUGUUUCCUCCUGACUGCGUGGCACACCAGGGCUUAACGUGUGAGCUGGUACCCAAGGGGACAAUACACCCUUGUAUCAGAAACCCCAGCAAAAUCCUGGGUCACAAGCACUGAGCGGAGGGAAAUGAAGUCAGAAAAAGCAGUUUUUGUCCCUGACCCUACAGCUGUGCCUCUUGAAGCCUUCAUUUCUUCAAAAAUACUUUGAGUUUACUGCAGACAGGAAUAAGAAACGCCAAUGUUAUGGAUCUUGGCUACGCAAACCGACCUUAGCCAGAUCCAUUUCUGUAUCAUCACUCAUAGGGAUAGCAGUGUGAACAAGGACUAGGUAACAUUGACAGGAGCUGUUUAAAUGAGAAGACAAAGUAUUUUUUAAAUAGUCUGGCAGAUAUAUUUGUCAGAUAACAGUGCAUGUGCAAUAAAACUCAGAUGAGGAAUCAGAGGAAUUUGGAACCCAAGGCAGCAGCAUUUUCUCAGGAUUUCAUGUAUUCUAAGUGCAUCAUUUUGUCAGUAAAGAGGAGGUGUUUUACAUAGUUUAUGAAAAUAUAUUUACACAUUUCAAUAUGGUGUCACUAUUGUGCUCACACGCAAGAUAAAGCUGAGUCUCAGUAACUGCAACAAUAAAGAGAUACAUCAAGUGACUGAACA